GAUGAACGCUGGCGGCGUGCCUAAUACAUGCAAGCCGAGCGAACAGACGAGGAGCUUGCUCCUCUGACGUUAGCGGCGGACGGGUGAGUAACACGUGGAUAACCUACCUAUAAGACUGGGAUAACUUCGGGAAACCGGAGCUAAUACCGGAUAAUAUAUUGAACCGCAUGGUUCAAUAGUGAAAGACGGUUUUGCUGUCACUUAUAGAUGGAUCCGCGCCGCAUUAGCUAGUUGGUAAGGUAACGGCUUACCAAGGCAACGAUGCGUAGCCGACCUGAGAGGGUGAUCGGCCGCACUGGAACUGAGACACGGUCCAGACUCCUACGGGAGGCAGCAGUAGGGAAUCUUCCGCAAUGGGCGAAAGCCUGACGGAGCAACGCCGCGUGAGUGAUGAAGGUCUUCGGAUCGUAAAACUCUGUUAUUAGGGAAGAACAAAUGUGUAAGUAACUAUGCACGUCUUGACGGUACCUAAUCAGAAAGCCACGGCUAACUACGUG
rnacentral:rRNA from 1 species